GUACAUAGGUCUUGAGGACAUGGCUGUCCUCUGUGAGCCGACUUGGAAUUCCAGAUGUGGGAGUUAGGCUCUGUAAUGAGGCAGACCUAAAUAUGAAUCCCAGCCCUUGCUCAAGUUAACAAGUUUGAGCUUCAGUUCUCAACUACAGAAUGGGUUGCAUGGAGUUGUGAGGCUGGGAGUAGUGGAUGUAGACUCUUUAGUAGGUUUCUGGCAUAGAGUGUGCUUUCAACAAAUGGAAGCAAUUAUUCGUAAUAUCAUUUUUGGCUCCCAAAUCACUGUAUUAGUUUUAUGUAUUUAUAUUCUGUCCCCAGAAUAUUUAAGACCACCAAGUUUAUUGAGUUACAGGGAUGUAAGUAAUUUUAUUGAUGAAUUUUUUAAAACCUAUCCUGAUCCUUUACAAUUGACUUUAUUCAUCUAUAUCUUUCUAUUGAGCAUUGAGACUGAGUCCCUCGUGUUCACAGCAGUAGCCCCAGCCCCUAGCACAGUGACUAGUAGUACUCAAUAAAUGUUUCCUGAAUUAAUGAACCUAAUACUUUCUCCCAUUCUCUUUUAGAGGCCACAAGAAGAAAAAUAUCCUGUGGGACCAUGGCUGUUGGCACUGUUUGUUUUUGUUGUCUGUGGCUCAGGACCCCAGAUCCACAUUGAAGCCCAAAGGAUCUAAACACCCUCCUUUUAUAAGAACAUUAUCUUCCAUUUCUGCAGACAAGGGGGCCUUUCUCCAGAUAAGCAGCGCAUCCCAGCUCUCUCAGUCCCCGGUUUCAAAACCUGCCUUUUUGGAGAACUGUUUAAUAGCUUCUGAAGAGUUCUUGCUUUAUCUCGAGACUCAAAGACAAGCAAGCAUGACCCGAAAUGUCUGUCUGAGACAGCGAAGAUGCUGUCACACAGAUCUGCCGACUGCUAUCUUCACAAGACACUUGCAGGCUUGACGCCACCUCCCAGGACCAUUGAUGAAGGCAGUCCCCACUGUUUGUGCUCAGAGCCCUUGCCCCUGGGUUCUUCUCCCCUUUAUCUUCAACUCUUUUAAAAGCCUAUUGAGAACGAUUCUGAGGCCACACCAAAGCUCUGUGGGAAAGUGUGCUGCAGUUGAUUGCCAAUGUCUGUCAUGAACAGGGAAUUAACAGCAGGGUCCCAUGCUCAUCUUCACUGUCCUGGUCUAACCUUUUUAUAAGAAAAGGUGCACUGUCCAGAGAUUCCAGAUGUGCAGCCAUCCUGGGUCUGCUCCCAGAUGGAUAACACCUUUACCAAGUCAUGGCUGCUUUUGGAUUGGGCCACCGGGUGCCCAUCACCUUACCUUUUUCUGGACACGUGCUCCAGGACAGAUUUGAAUUCACCAUGUUUGCAGGUCGACCACAUAAACAUUGGCCUUUCCUGAAGACCACUAGAACAUUCCUGAACUUGUGACACCCAGAGGGAGUCACUCCCCCAGCACUGACAAGUGCGAAGUUUGAGGCACAGAGCAGCCCAGAGAAGCUCUUCUAUUUCACCGCAGAGAAAAGAUGGAAAACAGGCAUCUACUCUGGAGCUCCUGCCUUGAGAUCUGAGAUGGACAAUCUGGAAAAGAUCUCAUCAGCCAUUGGCUCCAGCAAGAAUAAAUCUGUAGUGUGGAGAAAGGAUUGAAGAGUUGCAGGAGGAGACCAGUUUUGGAGGUCAUCACAGGCACCUGGAGAAAGAUGCUGGUCACUUGGACAAAGGUGGUUUCUGGAGGGAUGGAGAGAAGGGUGCAUAAUCACAAGAUUCUUAGCUAUCUUUCAGAUCAUUCAGAGCAUAAGGAUGGGCAUGUGAGAAGGCCCGGGAUUUGACACUGCCCCUCCCGCUGGAGGGUGGAGGACCUCUUAAGCUCUUAGCCCGGUAUCUGUGGGAAGCAAACAGGCCGCACAGAAUAGGAAAAAAUGGCUCCCACAGUUGCUCCCUGAUCACUUCAUCGUGGAUGUCAGACCAAAUUGCCUUCUCACAGGACAUCUUGGUACAUCCGUGUUCUGAAGUGGAAAAGACAUUUUGCUUUUCUGGUGGCAGGAUCAGUAGCUCCCGGGCGUCUGCAGCAGCGCUCUCUGGUUUUUCUUUUGGUUUCAGGAAUGUAUGCAUGUAGCCCUCUGAAUGAUCACUGGUUUACUUUCUAUGGAUACAAUCUCUCCUCCAUUGGGAACCGGUUUUACAAAUAAAUGUCUUUGUUCAACCUUA